GCAGUCCAGCCCCAGACCCAGCGGGACUCGGUGUUACAGUACGGUCUGACCCACCUUGAGGAUUUGCGGCAGAGUUCAACUGUGGGGCCAACCUUUGCAUUACCUAAUCUGGAAAGGAGCCAGCUGGCCUGUGGAACACCCGAAAACGAAACACUAUCCACCAGAGAAGGGAACGUAGGCCUGUCUUAGAGUCCCUGGUUAAGAGUCGCUUGAAAACUGAAAGCCACACGCGUGCUCACAGCGCCUGGGUUCUUGAGAAGUUCACUGUCUAAUGGGGAAAACAGAUAGGAGAUAAGACUCUUAAAGAAACAAUUGACCUGUUACAUGGAGCGUGUGUCCAGGGUGCUGUCAGAACACAGAGGAGGCACACCUCACGCAGCCAGACGUGAACACAUUCCUGAGUAAUCUCACCAGGGACAGAGCUGCUAGAUUUCAAGACCAGAGUCCAUACCUAGUUCUAUCAGAAAGCCUCCUUGGAGGUACGACCAAACCAAAGAUUAUGUCAGUGAUUCUCGUUGCGAUUCUUUACCGAUAAGACUUCACCACCGGCGAUCCACUAGGUGAUUACAACGUAUUACUAAGUAGCUGCUGUUAAACUCAAUGCCAGGAUUGAAUUAUUGCUAAGGGUGAGUUAGUGCCCUGUAGUCCUGGCCUUGUAAAUGAUGUCAGAGAAAUAUCUGUGCUUAGAGAGGAGAGUUCAGUGUGAUAAAACUCCAGACAGUGAUUAAUUGGAUCAUGUCCUUCCCUAUCUUAAUACUGAUCGCUCUGAAUCACUACUGCUUGUUUCUGUGCUUGCAACACAAUAUGCACACGGUGAAUAACUGUUAACUGACUGACCAGUCUCCAGGAAACAGAAUUCCACGAGUAGAGGGGUCGUGUCUACUUAUCUCCAGCACGCAAUAUGGUGGGUCCAGCGUGAGGUAGGCACGAAUGAGGGCAAAGCUAUCGAUGUCAAAUGUGUGUCCUCUGAGAAUACAUAAGGCCUCUUCCUGUAGUUCCUCAUGUUUGUGUCUCCUUCCAAUGGCUACGUUUUACUAUUUUUAGGUUGCUUAAGAGCAGGGGCUGUGUUGUUUUUGCAAUUUAUGAGAGUGAUGAAAAGCGGAAAGAAAAAUGUCUUAACGCUAGAAUUCAUUCACUUGUACACUUUUCCAAAUUCAGCAGAACUACAGUGACCUCAAAGUGGACCAUUUCAAAACACUUAGGAUGAAUUCCACUUCCAGGUAGUGAGUGAGCUGGGAGCAAAGAGUCGCCGAUGAUAGGACAUGCCGCACUGCGCGCUUACAGGGCUGGUGCACCUGUGUGCUCAGCUACUUCCAGUGAACACCGGUGCACAGAGACAGCUGCCAAACAUUUUCUAGGUCAUUUGUUCUGCGCAGAAACAGAAAGUGUGUAAUACUGAACAAGGUAUAAUCAUUUGCAAACUGGAUUUAUGCAGAAUGAAAGAAGUAAAAAAAAGGGGGGGAGGCUGGAAAUUAAUGCAUGUCUUAAGUGCUUAAUGACCCCAUUAAUUGAGAAAUAGGUAUUUGGGGAAAAUAAACAGAAGAGGUAGCACCUUGGAGCCAUUAAUCUGCUCUGGGAGGACUGCUAAUGUUUGCCAGCUGAUUUUCUCCUGAAUUAGGAGCUGAAAGUCGGUCUGCUUUCACAGUUCUUAAAUCUGGUGUAGCAUAAAAACCAUGUGGAAAGCUUCUGAACAACACAGAUGCCUGGAUUCUCUUCAUACUUCCUAACUCAGGAUCUCUGAAGUAGGACUCAGGCAUUUCGAUUUUUUUUUUUAAAGCUGGACAGGUGAUUCUUUAUUUAA